rnacentral:rRNA from 1 species
GGGAUCGUUGGCGGUGUGGAUUAGGCAUGCAAGUCGUGCGCGAAAGCCUUCGGGCGAGUAAAGCGGCGAACGGGUGAGUAACACGUAACCAACCUAUCCCUGAGACCGGAAUAACCACUGGAAACGGUGGGUAAUGCCGGAUGGUCCCUCAGAAGGGUAUCCUAUGGUCGGUAAACGGUGGCUUCGGCUGCUGCUGGAGGAGCGGGUUGCGGCCUAUCAGCUUGUUGGUGGGGUAACGGCCUACCAAGGCAAUGACGGGUAGCCGGUCUGAGAGGACGAUCGGCCACACUGGGACUGAGACACUGCCCAGACUCCUACGGGAGGCUGCAGUCGAGAAUCUUCCGCAAUGGGCGAAAGCCUGACGGAGCGACGCCGCGUGGAGGAUGAAGGCCUUCGGGUUGUAAACUGCUGUCACGCUAUAGGAAACCUCAGGGGUUAAUAGCCUCUGGACUGACCAAAGCGAGAGGAAGCGCCGGCUAAUUCCGUGCCAGCAGCCGCGGUAAUACGGAAGGCGCGAACGUUGUUCGGAAUCACUGGGCAUAAAGAGCUCGUAGGCGGUUCGUCAAGUCAGUGGUGAAAUCCCUCGGCUCAACCGAGGAAUUGCCAUUGAAACUGGCCGGCUCGAGGGCAGGAGGGGAGAGCGGAAUUCCUGGUGGAGCGGUGAAAUGCGUAGAUAUCAGGAGGAACGCCGGCGGCGAAAGCGGCUCUCUGGCCUGUUCCUGACGCUGAGGAGCGAAAGCUAGGGUAGCAAACAGGAUUAGAUACCCUGGUAGUCCUAGCCGUAAACGAUGGGCACUACGUAGAGGGAAUGCCUAUGGUUUUCCCUGCCGGAGCAAAUGUAUUAAGUGCCCCGCCUGGGGAGUACGCUCGCAAGGGUAAAACUCAAAGGAAUUGACGGGGGCUCACACAAGCGGUGGAGCAUGUGGUUUAAUUCGAAGCAACGCGAAGAACCUUACCUGGUCUUGACAUUCAUGGAUUAGCUCUGUGAAAGCAGAGUGACAGCUCUUCGGAGUCGGAACGUAUACAGGUGUUGCAUGGCUGUCGUCAGCUCGUGUCGUGAGAUGUUGGGUUAAGUCCCGUAACGAGCGAAACCCUUAUUGCUAGUUGCCAGCGGGUUAUGCCGGGGACUCUAGCGAGACUGCCGUUGUCAAAACGGAGGAAGGUGGGGACGACGUCAAGUCAUCAUGGCCCUUAUGGCCAGGGCGACACACGUGCUACAAUGGUCUACACAAAGGGUACCGAGACCGCGAGGUGGAGGCAAUCCCACAAAGUAGGCCCCAGUUCGGAUUGCAGGCUGCAAUUCGCCUGCAUGAAGCCGGAAUCGCUAGUAAUCGCGUAUCAGCCAUGACGCGGUGAAUAUGUUCCUGAGCCUUGUACACACCGCC